AUUGGGCAGGGUGGUGCAUGCCUGUAACCCCAGCGACUUGGGAGUCUGAGACAGGAGGAUCGUGGGUUCGAAGCCAGCCUCAGCAACAGUGAGGUGCUAAGCAACUCAGUGAGGCCCUGUCUCUA
rnacentral:sRNA from 1 species